rnacentral:ncRNA from 1 species
UCAGUCACACCAUGAGAGCUGGUAACACCCGAAGUCCGUGAGGUAACCGCAAGGAGCCAGCGGCCGAAGGUGGGAUUAGUGAUUGGGGUGAAGUCGUAACAAGGUAGCCGUAGGAGAACCUGCGGCUGGAUCACCUCCUUU